GAACAAACGCUGGCGGCGUGCCUAACACAUGCAAGUCGUACGAGAAAGGGUCCUUCGGGACCUGAGUAAAGUGGCGCACGGGUGAGUAACGCGUGGAUAAUCUGCCCUUCAGUUGGGAAUAACUCAUCGAAAGGUGGGCUAAUACCGGAUAAUGCUGUGAGACUUUGGUCGAUCAGCCAAAGAGAGCCUCUGCUUGCACGCCCUCGCUGAAGGAUGAGUCCGCGUACCAUUAGCUGGUUGGUAGGGUAAUGGCCUACCAAGGCGACGAUGGUUAGCUGGUCUGAGAGGAUGAUCAGCCACACUGGAACUGAGACACGGUCCAGACUCCUACGGGAGGCAGCAGUGAGGAAUCUUGCGCAAUGGGGGCAACCCUGACGCAGCAACGCCGCGUGAGUGAGGAAGGUCUUCGGAUCGUAAAGCUCUGUCAGUUGGGAAGAAACGCUUGGAAGCCAAUACCUUUCAUGCUUGACGGUACCAACAGAGGAAGCACCGGCUAACUCCGUGCCAGCAGCCGCGGUAAUACGGAGGGUGCAAGCGUUGUUCGGAAUUAUUGGGCGUAAAGAGCGUGUAGGCGGCCGGAUGUGUCAAAUGUGAAAGCCCUGAGCUCAACUCAGGAAGUGCAUUUGAAACUGUCCGGCUCGAGUAGGGGAGAGGGAAGUGGAAUUCCUGGUGUAGAGGUGAAAUUCGUAGAUAUCAGGAGGAACACCGGUGGCGAAGGCGACUUCCUGGCCCUAUACUGACGCUGAGACGCGAGAGCGUGGGGUAGCUAAACGGAGAUUAGAUAC
rnacentral:rRNA from 1 species